UACGGAGGGGGCUAGCGUUGUCCGGAAUUAUUGGGCGUAAAGCGCGCGUAGGCGGUUUUGUAAGUUAGAGGUGAAAGCCCGGGGCUCAACUGCGGAAUUGCCUUUAAGACUGCAUCGCUAGAAUUGUGGAGAGGUAAGUGGAAUUCCGAGUGUAGAGGUGAAAUUCGUAGAUAUUCGGAAGAACACCAGUGGCGAAGGCGGCUUACUGGACACAUAUUGACGCUGAGGUGCGAAAGCGUGGGGAGCAAACAGG
rnacentral:rRNA from 1 species